AAGGUUGACCUCGGAUCAAGUAAGGAUACCCCGCUGAAACUUAAGCAUAUCAAUAAGCGGAGAAAACC
rnacentral:rRNA from 1 species